CCUACGGGGUGCAGCAGUGAGGAAUAUUGGUCAAUGGACGAGAGUCUGAACCAGCCAAGUAGCGUGGAGGAUGACUGCCCUAUGGGUUGUAAACUUCUUUUAUAUGGGAAUAAAAUGUUCCACGUGUGGGAUUUUGUAUGUACCAUAUGAAUAAGGAUCGGCUAACUCCGUGCCAGCAGCCGCGGUAAUACGGAGGAUCCGAGCGUUAUCCGGAUUUAUUGGGUUUAAAGGGAGCGUAGGUGGAUUGUUAAGUCAGUUGUGAAAGUUUGCGGCUCAACCGUAAAAUUGCAGUUGAAACUGGCAGUCUUGAGUACAGUAGAGGUGGGCGGAAUUCGUGGUGUAGCGGUGAAAUGCUUAGAUAUCACGAAGAACUCCGAUUGCGAAGGCAGUUCACUGGACUGCAACUGACACUGAGGCUCGAAAGUGUGGGUAUCAAACAGGAUUAGAUACCCCGGUAGUC
rnacentral:rRNA from 1 species